GGCUGGUUCAAAGCUGGUGAGUUAUCUCAAUAGUUUGCAUUCAGUUACAGACCCCUCUCCUUGUUCUACUCUUUCCCCCUUCUCAUGAUUGCACUUGACUAGUCUUCU
ensembl:misc_RNA Y_RNA Y RNA